rnacentral:rRNA from 1 species
UGGGGAAUUGUUCGCAAUGGGCGCAAGCCUGACGACGCAACGCCGCGUGGAGGACGAAGAUCUUCGGGUCGUAAACUCCUGUCGAGCGGGAAGAACGCUUCCCGGGUGAAUAAUCCGGGGAAUUGACGGUACCGCUAAAGGAAGCCCCGGCUAACUCCGUGCCAGCAGCCGCGGUAAUACGGGGGGGGCAAGCGUUGUUCGGAAUUACUGGGCGUAAAGGGCUCGUAGGCGGCCAACUAAGUCGGAUGUGAAAUCCCCAGGCUUAACCUGGGAACUGCAUCCGAUACUGGAUGGCUUGAAUCCGGGAGAGGGAUGCAGAAUUCCAGGUGUAGCGGUGAAAUGCGUAGAUAUCUGGAGGAAUACCGGUGGCGAAGGCGGCAUCCUGGACCGGCAUUGACGCUGAGUGAGCGAAAGCCAGGGGAGCAAACG